AGGUCCAGUUAAGAACAUCUGCAACAAUUGCCUGUGAGCUUAAAUUAGUUAUUUAUUUGUUAAAAAUCCAACACUUAGAACGAUCAAGCAACUUUUGAGGGCGCACACCACCAAAGCCCUCAACCCCAGUAUCAUCCUAAAGUCCGACACGCCAAUGUCGUAACCGAUCAGAGGAAAAUCCGAGGUCCUCAAAGUUUCUGUUAUUUCGUAUCCGAAGGUUCCCCUACAGUCGAUUAGAGGAGGACUUUCUUCAUCAAAUGGUGUGACCUUCGGGAACCUCGUAAACGGCCAAGGACUGGACGCAGAUAAGUCCAAGAUAUCAGUUCUUCGCGAUUUCCAAUCUUGUCGUUAUAAUAUAUUAUUCGAAUUUCCUUUCUUAAAAAAAAUUUAUUUCAAUUUUCAAAUUUUCCUUUUUAAAUUUCAAUUUUUAUGCAACUAUUAGUAAUUUUUUAUAACUUAUAAUUUCAAUUAAUGUGAGCGAGCGAAUUGGCCAAUUCUAACGUAAAAAUUCGUGUCAGUAGUUGAUUUAACCAUCUGGUCACAAGAGUAACUUUUAAUAUACGGAAUUUUAAUUGAUUAUUCAAUAGUUUUCUUAUCUCCUUCUCAGUUGGGAGCUUAGUUAUCGAUAACUGAGUGGCGCCCUUAAAUUUUUAGCUAACUUAAACCAUCAAUAGUAAAAUCCUUGUCCCACGACCUGCCACCGACUAAAAAGACCUACCGCCCUUGUGUACCUGUUGCGAAUAUAAACAAACCAAAAAAAAAAGGUAUGCAAUAACGGCACAUUUUAAUUUAAGGGAGAAAAAUAAUUUAAAUAUAGAGUACUUACGACUAGAUAAAAGCAAAAUUUCAGCAGAUCCGGUGUGCACGAUCGGUUUGCAGUAGUAAAAUGCUUCCACUGCUGGGAGUACGGGCACAAAACAAAGGACUGCUCAGGUGAGGAUAGAAGGCAGAGAUGCCGAAAAUGUUCGCAGAUAGGCUAUUUCUGGAACAACAGCUUCGAUGCCCCCUGUGUAGUUCGGAAGGACAAAUGCCGGGAGCGGCAUACUGCGAGAGUUUCAAGAAAGCAAUGAGAAAUGCAAUCCAAACGAGGAACCAAAGUAAGCCUUGUAGAAUGACUUCAAGAAACGACGCUCUGGAACGCUACCUCCGGGAACAGGUAGAAGAGCCCAUUGGUGACUGACGGCGUUUGCGGGGAGGGGGAAGCCCACACCCGCACCCACUGACGGACCGGGACAAGGAAAACCAGAACCAGCUAUGGGCUUCCAACAACGACAACGACAGAUGGCCACAGUUAGUACCAAUAUAGUGCUGCUCUGUAUCCAGCUAAACACCAACCGGAGCCAGACAGCACACGACUGUCUAACGCAGAUGGCCAUUGAGGAACGGGCGGAUAUCCUGUUUGUAACGGAACCCAACAAGAGACUCAUCGCUAAGGGAGGAUGAUCCUAUGACAGAAACCUGGACGUAGCAAUCAGAGUCAUUAAUCCGCAACUCAGAGUGGAACACCAAGCCUCGGGGCGGGGGUGGGCCUCGGUGCAAGUGGGAAUAUGCACAAAGAUCAGUGGUUACAUUCACCAAAUGUGCCCAUUCAACAAUUCCUUGAGGAGUUAAGGAAGACACUACGAGACAUGCGAGAAAAAAUCCUGUUAACGGGCGAUUUCAAUGCCAAGUCUCACGCAUGGGGCUCCGGUACCGAGGACCGUAUGGGCAGUGCCCUAGCGGACCUCCUGGCAGAAUUAAACCUAGUAGUGGCCAAUGUAGGAAAUUAAUUGGUGAAACAUUAUUGUUCUUUCAGAAAACAGUUUAACUUUAAAAAAGUUACUAGGAAUAUCUCAUUAAAAUGAUGAAAACUUCUUUAAACCCGCUUUUUCGUCUGAUAAUUUUAUCCAGGUAAUAAAUUCUGAAAAAUACAUUGUUGUAAAAAUUUAUUGUAACUAUACCCAGUAAUAAUUAUAGUACAAAUAACGUGUCGAGAGAUUGUAAGAUCCAGUCUUAGGGAUAUAAUUUGUUUACGUUACGCCUAGUAAAAUAAAUGAUACUUUUAUAAUUAUGUAUUAUUUUAGAAUUUAGGAAUUAUUUCUCGUUUUUUUAUUAAAUUUAUACAAUUUUUCUAUUACUAGCUUGCGAAGAUAUAGCUGCGUUACUCUUACAUUAUAUAAAUUUUGUGUAUUUCUUUAAAAUAUAAGUAAACAUUGCUAAAGAUCGGGUACCUGAAACUGAAAUCACAUGUAAACAAAAAUGUUUAUUAGAAAGUUUAGAAAGUUUUUCAUAAGCUCUUGUAUUUAGUGGAGGGUUUUAUUUUAUACGUGGGAGUUAAAAAUAAAAAUUGUAAAAAAUGUAUGUAUUAUAAGAAAAAAAACCAAACGACGCCCCCUCAUAAAUGUUUUAAAAAUUGGAAAAACACUUCAACUUCAAUGGAAGCAGCAAUUAUUUUGGAUGGAUUUAAAAAAUAAGUAGACAUGCAUAACGUAAGAUUUAAAAACCUCAUAGGAGAUGGUGAUAGUAGCGUCUACAAAAAAAUUCAUAAUGCAAGACCAUACGGGCCUAAUUAUUUUAUUAAAAAAAUUGAAUGCCGAAAUCAUAUACUACGAAAUUUUUGUACUAAAAUUAGAGAAAUCGCUAAAACUCCUCGUUCUGACAUAAAUAUAAAAAAAUUUUUGCGCAACAAUUAUUUGAAAUUUAGAACCGCAAUUGUUUCAGCGAUAAAAUACAGAAAAAACGAAAACUGUACUUUCGAUCAAAAAGCAGAAAACCUGAAAAAUGAUAUUUUAAAUGGACCUGCACAUAUUUUUGGUAAUCAUUCAAAGUGCGCUACGUAUUUUUGUAAAACAGUUGGUCAAAUAACAAAUGCAGUUGCAUAUUCUGACUUUAAAAAUAGUUCCUUGUUUGAGUUGUUCAUGCAGGCAUUAAAACGAGUUGCAAAUUUAUCUUCAAGUCUAUUGUAUGAUGUCGAUAAUAAUUCUGUUGAGUCAUUUAAUUCAGUAGUUAACAAACUUGUUCGGGGUAAAAGAAUAAAUUUUUCAGAACGCGGUUCUUAUCAUGGAAGAUGCUUUGCGGCAGUCGUAAAUGUAAAUAACAAAAACAAAUUAAUUUGUAUUUAAAAUUAUGGAGAAAAUAUCAGGGAAUAGUGGCAUUUACACCACAAAAUUUUCAAAUCGCUUAUUAAAAACCAAAGAACUUCAAGCUACAAAAUUAAAUAAAAGAAAAAUUCGUAUUCAAAGUGCAGAUUCGGAUUAUGGUGCGACUAAUGACAUAAUGGACAUGCCAACAGAAACAUAUGACAAAAUAAAAAAUGAGUUCUUGAAUGAUUUGGCUGCUUGCGAUAUUUUAAAAAUUCCUUUGUUAACAAUUGGUCAACGUAAUAAUGAGCAGUGGGAUAAAGAAAGAAAUAAUAAAUUAACGGCUAGUAAUUUCGGAAGAAUUAUUAAUAUGAAAUGUACGACCAAUACAGCGAAUGCUGUAAAAGAUAUCUUGUAUCGUGUGGGAUUAUCUAAAUUUAAAAAAUUACCCGAACCACUACAGUGGGGAACUGAUAAUGAAGAGAAAGCAAAGGAGAAGUUUGAACAGAUCACAGGUAUAAAGGUAGAUUCAUGCGGCUUUUUUGUUGAUAAAGAAAAAAAAUUUUUAGGUGCAACACCAGAUGGGUUAGUGGGUUCAAUGCUAUUGUUAAAAUUAAAUGUCCAUUUAGCGCAAGAAACACAAAUAUUAAAACUGCCAUAGAACAAAAAUUGAUUAAAUACUUAGAAAUAGAUUCUCAAGAUGAUAGUAAAAUAGUUUUAAAAGAAAAAGAUAAUUACAUGCAUCAAGUACAAGGUCAGCUCCACAUUACUAAUCGCCAAACUUGUUAUUUUAUAGUGUACACCUCUACAGAUUUAAAAUAUUGUAUUAUUGAGAAAAACGAUAGUAAAUAUUGGAACGGAGGAAUGAUAGAUUGUCUUUAAAAUUUUUAUAUGAAUGCCAUGUUACCAGAAAUAAUUGAUUCAAGACAUAGUCGCAAUUUACCAUUACGCAGCAUAAUAAAAAAGGAUUUGUAAAUAAUAUUUCAAGUUUAGUUUUAGAGAUUUUUACAUAAAUACAUAAUAUGAUGAUAAGCAUUUUAAUAAUAAUUAUAAUUUUUAAUUUGAACAAUAAAAGUAAAAAAAAACUUCCUCAGUGGGUUGACACCUUGUCGUGGUGAGGGAGCUCAGUAGUUCUAUCACAAAACCUGUACAGAACGAAGCUAAGUACCAAAGUUUUAAUCAUCUUUUUUUAUAUUUUUUUUUAAAACAGGAAUAAUUUUAUUGUUAAAAGUAUUCAAAAAAAUAGCGAGCGUGAUUACUCGUAUUUCAAAAUCUCAUAAGAUACGUUGAUAGCAGUGUCUACACAAAAAAAACGUAAUGCAAAUCUAUAGGUAUCUAAUUAUUUUGUUAAAAAAAUUAAUUCCGAAAUCAUGUGCUUUAAUUUUAUACCAUUAUUAGAGAAAUCGCUAAAAUUCCUAUUUGUGCCGAUACAUUUCUCUGUCUUGAACAAAGGCAAUAAAAUUAUUAUCUUGUGGGUCACCCCAAUGGUGGUUACCUCCAGCGGUGCGUCCUAAACCCGUCAUAAAUCUUCUUCCAGCUAGCUACGCAUUCGAAGAAGGAUGCAUUAAAAGUUGCCUACUUACAAUUUAAUUUUUGCUUUAUAUCUAUCAAUUAAGAACAGUUAACAAAAAUCUAAAAUAUCUCAGGUCUGUAUUUUUAAAUUUCCUAUAAAAUGGUUUAUUUAAAUUCUCAAUACAAUGCACCGUUAUCAAAAAUUCGUAUCAACUUCAUUAACAGACAUUUUAUUUAAUAAAAAAAUAUCUAGCCAUUUAUUUUAAUCAAGAAUGUUUCUUGGAACUACAUUUACUUAUAAAGAAACACUGCAAAUGUCAAGAAACUCUUCAAGUCUAAAUUUGUGGCUAAAAACAGUAAAAACAGUUUACACGUAAAACGUAUGCGCCAGCUCCCAGAGGGUCUUGAGCCUUUUAAGUUACUAGAGCAGGCAAGCUGCUGCGCGAUCAUGUUUUGAGCCAUGCAAAUGAGCGAUAAACACACAUUUAACAAUAGCAAAUAAAAACAAAAAGGUAAUAAUAAUUGCGACCGCAGAAAGGUAUAAAUAACUCCUCGAAUAAUUUUUUUAAUAAGAAGGUGACGCGGAUUUAUGCAAAAGUGGAAUUUGCAAGUAAGAUUUUGUUGUGUUUGCGAGCUGUUUGAGUUUAGGUCACUGUGGGAAAAUUGAGGAAAGUUACAUUAGUUUCUUACCAAGGACAUUAAAACUAUUAUCACGUUGCCAUUCAUUGCUAUUACCAAACUACUAAGCACUACAAAGCAACUACCACCCCGUCUGCAUGAUACGAAAGCGGCUAAAGAGACCCAACGUCUGUUUUAACCGGAGCGGAGCGUCUGACCGACCACAACAUUCAACACUACCGCUAUUCGAGAGUACAUUAAAAUUUGUUGUAAAUCGACAAGGACAACAAGUCAAACGGUAAUGUUGUGGGAAAGAGACUGCUGGUAGACCUGCAUAGUGCAGGACGUGUCCCGCCAACAUUUCUUCGUUUUUCCAGACGCAGGACAGUCGGCCGGAAGCCACUGUAUCACUGUGUUUCCCGCUAAAUACUUCACUGGCCAAAUGGAGAAAGAAAGUUGUGAUUAAUUGUUGGUUUACGUGAAACGUAAAGUGUUGAACAUCAUGAAGCUUUUCAGGAGCUGAUCAGUUAAUUUCCAACUUCAGGAACUUGACGCCUAAUUAUUAUAAAUUACGUAUUAUGAUGUAUUCAUUUAUUGUUGCUACGCUUUUUAUUUGCUGUUUCUCUUGAUUUCGUUUUUGGAAAGAAAGUGUCAAUUAACUUCCGAUCGAUUUGGGAAAUCCAUUUCAUUCACCUGUUCUUCACGGCUUGGCUAACAUUCGUCCAUCAACUAGAACAUCGUCGCCGAAGAAAAGAAAAUAAUUUAAAUUUUCCACAUUUUUUUACCAAAACGGAUUUUAGUACAAUAAGUAUUGACGUUAUUUCCCACAACUUUUGGCCAAACGUAUUUGCAUACAAAUAAUGGAAUUUAACGAAACAGAUCAAAGUUUCAAGUUUAAAAAUCAAAGGGAAAACUUUGCAGAUAAUUCAUAUUUUCGCCCUAGGGGAAAGAAUAAACUUAUCGGAAGUAUUGGAACUUUUCACAUGAUUGUAUUUUUCUUUUUUGUACGGCGUAUUUCCCACUUUGUUGUAUAACCAUCAGGCACGGGGAACUUUAGACGGGUGCUGCGAUUUAAGAUUGCCGAUGAGUAAUGAGUUAAGUUUUCUUCCUCUUUAAUUAACAUUUAAUGAAUACUACAUCACUCCAUCUUCCCUUCUUUUUACCUUAUUUCACGUGAUUGACUAAGAAGAAUAAUUAAUUAUAUGCGGACUCGCGUGUUGCUUAUAAUUUUGUCAUAACAGCAUUGUAAUUAGCGUCUAAAGUUACCCUUGUAAUACAUGCACACAACUUUUAAGAAAGACUUUCGAAAAGUUUGACUCCAAUCACCUUCUCAAUACAUUUAAAUUAAGUGGCGCAUUUAGUUAAUUGUCUAUUUGUUGCAAAUGUUAAAUUAAUAUUAAUAACAGUAUCGCAAUCAUUUUAAGUACAUGCAGCUGCAGAAAAAAUGAAAAUUAAGACACGCUGUAGACUUUAGGUCUUUUACUCGUACUUCUUGUGUAGGAUUGCAGAAAAUUAUUUUUUUUGCACAGAUUAAAUUCAUCUGUCAUUAGCAUAACUCGCAGAACUUUUCUGAUUUUGAUGUUUAUUUCAGUCGUAAUAACUUAAAUUGUAACUUUUUGUAAUUAUUUCCAGUUUUAAUUUAUUUGGGGGAGUUCUUUAUUAUUAACGAUACGAAAUGUAGGAAAAUUAAAUAAGCCUAAAAAUGUAUUUUCCAAAUGUGGCCACUGACUUAUGCAAUACCGAUUACACAUUCAAAUAAAGAGUUAUCUACAAGUUAAAUUAUGUAUAUCUAUUAAACCAAUGUACCUAUUUAAUAUUUAUGGUAUUAUUUGUUGAAAUCUCAUUUAAUUUAAAAAAAAAAGCUAUUUGUUGUUAAUGUAUUUUUUGCCACAGUGAAGUGAGUCAAGUGCGCAAAAAUUUGGUAAUUCCCCGGUCAUGGUUGACGGCCAUCGAGUGAAAUCACUCAGAAGUGAAGAUGUAUCUGUGUAUUUAAAGACUUUCACGGACGCGUACCGGAGUCUAAUUGCUGGCCAGUAAAUUAUGUAAAUUUCCACACAUGAAGCGUUUAUACCUAUAAACACAGAAACGAAACUAGUUUCAAACAGUUUGUGUUGCGCUUUGGCGGGAGCACAGUAUUUGAAAAUAAUUUGUAGAUUUAGUGGCACUCUAUAAAUAAAACGAGAACGAGUUUGAUCGAACUUUCAUUUACGAUAUGAUGACUAAACCUUGCGGCUAAUGUGUUACUUGCUAUAAUUUAUUGCGGCUACAGUCAUUAUCAAGUGUAGUGUAGUUUGUUAUUCGAAAAUUGUAACUAGCAAUGUAUCAGUUUGUGUUUACAACUGGCUUAAAUGGGGACUCGGAAUUUCAUAAGGAUUUGAGCGCAACGAACAAUCUUUGCAAACUAGUGCAAGUAACUGUAAAUGCGUCUUCAGCGGCUAAUUGUGGAAGACGAUGGUGAAAAAUUGCUACGUCUUUUUUAUUUUAGUGGUGCUUGCGGUAACGGUGUAUAUUGCAGAGACGCGACCUCAAUUUAAAGAGUCGCUUGAAGCCAUCUCCAAAGUGACUGAAGGGAUUAAUGAUAGCGCUAUCACUUUUAUUAAACAUCUAACCGGCGAGGCGUUAAAAGAUGACAAGAAUAAAACUAAAACCAGGAUUUUGUUCCGAGGGGAUUUGCUGGGCGGGGAGUUCGGCGACCAGGACAUAAUAUUUCCCGACACGUACCAAGUGAUUUUCAAUGAUGUUCCGAAAAUCGACGGUCCUCCUAAGUGUGCCGAAGGCAACACUUUUUGUGAGGACUUUGAUUCUUAUCCUUACAACCACGUGAAAAACGUGCUUAAGCGCAAGCGGGUGCAUACUGAUUUAUUCGGCAAGGACGAACCCCUCGAUGAGCGCUACAGCAUCACCAACAGAAACGGCGACUUCGAGGCGUUCAUCUGCACGAGCAUAUCCAAAACGAUUUUCCCCCGAGUUGGCAUCAACAAAAACAACAAGUGGAAGGUCAUAAUCAAUCAAGAGGAAGACGGAUACAUUCAAGGGAUUAGGACGGAAAUUUGCCGAAAGUAAAGGGUUGAAAGUUGAUUUCUGUGUCGGUGACAGAGUGUUGCGGGGAAGGGGCGGCUUGUGACCUCAUCGGCGACAGGGCGAACGGCUACAUAACCAGCUGCAAGCAAAAAUACAUGUUGCGGAGGAUGAUGUCUUUAUCUGAAAAUGGGGAUCCCGUCCCGGACACAUUCCAGUUACCGUCAGCCUGCUGCUGCUCUUACAGGAAGGAUCUGAGUUUUUUGUCCCGAUUUGGCGCCGACGAUGUUUCCUUAAGGUCGAAAGGGAAAGGAAAAUAAAAUAAAGAAUGUGAUAUAAGUUAUGUGAUUGAACUUUUUAUUGUAAAAACGGCAGCGGGAUUAUUUAUUGAAUAAAAUCAUACAGAAGCAAACCACAACCAAUGAACGAACCCUUCUCCCCACCUCUGGCCGAAACCCUAAACCCUUUCAACUUUCCUAAUCACUUAUUUACGAUUCUAUUCAACAUUAUUCUUCGUGGCUGCAAACGUCGAAUGUGGGUGAAGUGUGUUUUCGUCUGUGUUUAUUUUAUGACUAUGGAAGUGGUUAGUUAUUUCUUUUCUCUUUUUCUGGAUUUUCUUAUAGUUUUUUUAGUCAGUAUUCAAGCAAGUCCAGCCUGGCAGAGAAACAAUCACAUCGUUUUUCCGAACUCGCUAGAAGAGCAUGAAACUUUCAUUGCUCCAAAGUGUAGCGGUAACAAAACAUUUUGUGAGGACGUCGGACAUUACCCCAAAAAUAAAUUUAGCGUAAUAUUAGAAAACACCACAUACGGGGAAGAUUAUUUCAUGCCGCAAAGCACCGCCGAGGAAGAAUCUAUCAAAAAUCGAUUGUACGGAGUAACUGAAUAUUACAUCUGCAAUUCUCACGUCCAAACGCAAUAUCCCAAAGUGGCGCAAAACGUCAGAAACGAGUGGAAAUAUGUUUACAAUUUUGAUAACUACAAGCAAGGCGUAAGGACAGAAGAAUGUGUAGCUGAAACAGCUUGCAGAUCAUUCCAGGGAACGCCGCGGGAAGUUAGGACGAAGUGUAUGCAAAAGUACAGCGAUAUGUUGCUGUUGGUUGCCGAUGAAUACGGAAAACCUGUGUGGGAUUUAUUCUGGUUUCCUUCCGCCUGUGUCUGUGCAUACGAACCAAUUAUUAAUUUUAACCGAGUUUAGGAGAGUUUGCUGACAACUAAUUUUCCUUAAAUUGCGAUCAAUAGACGUGUCUUUGAAGCUGAAAUGUUAUACCAUUUCCCGGUACAAUAAAACUUUGAUUCUAUA